UUUACUCACCUGUAUAUUAUGAUGUGAAUUCUACUCUUGCUCUGACUAUAAGUUUUUUUUAUGCUUAAAUCUGAUAUUUAUAUCUAUCCUUUUAUUGUUGUGCUAUUUUCCCUAAUGAUACUUAUUUUUGUGUGAGUAAUUUUCCUUUUAUGAGUGAUUUGCUUGCUCUUGUUGAGAGCCAUCAUACUUGCAGAAUUUAGUUCUUUGGCUUCUUCUAUUGUUUCUUAGGUACUUACUCUAGAAAAUGUUCAGUGUUUGUCUUUCUUUAUUCUGCCAGAGUUGGGGUUGUAGAAUCUCUAUUUCUUGACUGGUUUUCUGUGUCUGACUCCCCCCCCUCUCUUGAGAGUUCAUUAUGCGAUCCAUCAACUUACUGCAAAGCAGAUGUAUACUAACUGUAAUCAUAUAGUAUGUUCGUACUUCAUAUUGUAGUUCCUUGUUGCAGCUUUCAGGCAUGCUUAUUUCAUUUAAUUGGUUAAACUACAAGUGGAAAAUUUCAGUUACAUUACUGGCCCCAUACAACUAUAUUCAAGCUUCCUGGAUGCUGAAGAAACUGUUUUUAAACUCAAGGAUCUAUUAUCUAUCUUUAUUUCAUUUCCGCCCAUCUUCUAGUGGAACGGUUUCAUCUCUAUUCACGUGUUGAUUGAUAUUGUUGCCACCAAAGUAGUGCAUGACCUUUAAGUUUGGUAGCAACAAAAUCAACCUUUAUUCCAUUGUUCAUUUCUUUCCAUUUGAAAAAUAUUUCAAGUUAAGCAAUCCAAUCAACAUAAGAGUCAGGAUCAAGUUUACCAUCAAAAUUGGAAACAUCUACAUGGAUACUCUUAUCAGCAUUUUCACGUGCACGUGCACGUGCAUGACGCUUCAUUGUCCAAGUAUAUUGUUAAUGUGGCGGUGAUGGAGGGCGUGCCAAUGACUGCAACGAUGGGUGUGACUGGUUUGAUGUAGAACUUGACGCAUCAUCACGCUCUUCAUUGAAAUUAGGAAUUUUACAAUGGGGCACGAGGUAGUGGAGGCGGUGGAUCACUAGAUGAAGGGAGAAGCCUCUUCAAGAGAUGCGUUGCGGGUCGCUUUGCUUUACCUUUAGGCAUAAGACUUGGAACUUGCUCUGAUACCAAGUUGAUGCCGCUCAAAGUGAAAUUACACAAUAAGGUAGCAAAUGGAGAGAAUUCUAUUGCAAAAUGAAGAACCAAGUAUAAAGUAACAGGGGUCAGGGAGGACCACUCAAGAUCAUUAGCUACAUAAUUCUUUAUUAUUAGUUGAUAUCUAUUUGAAUUGGAAAGAUUAUUUUCCAGAUUAUCUGAAUUUGUAUCCGGAUACCUCUGACCGGAUACAAAUACACCUAAAUGGAUACGGCUGCGAAUCGAAUUGGGAUUUUCGACUAUCCGUUUACAUCUCUACAUAUAAGUGAACUGAUCAAGCCAGCUGUAUGAUGAUUUGAUUGUUUGACCACCCAACCUGGAUAGCUCAGUGGUUCAAACUGGGUAAAUUUUUGACCCAGCAUGUAAUUGACAUCUGUUGGUGUGUCAAGCAGGCUUUGAAUGCUGUCCAGCUUUCAUGGCCUCAAAAUUGGCCUUGGACUGGCUGCAAUGUGGGCUUAGAUUAGUUCUACAGCUGGAUAUCAAAGUGGCACUGCAUAUUGUUUUCGGCUGACUGAUUAGUUGUAUGCCAUUAACCUGCUUAUUAGCUUUCCUCACAGCUGCCAUUUGGUGUCAGAAAUACCCAUCGAAGAUCUAUAGUUAUGUCUUAAUUAUGAAAUUUAGAAAGGGCUGUAUUGAGUUUGCUGUGGAGUUAACAUCUAAAUCAAGCUGAAUUUCUCAAUUCCGGUUUCAAGAAAUUGUGCAGGAUCAUGUUUGCAUUGCUUUGCCUGUGCAUAUGAUACUGUCUUUUCUUCAUCAGGAAUUCUAAUCUAUUAUAUGUGGCCUUCAAUUUGCACUGAAAAAGGAGAUCAGAUCUCUAAAUAUUGCAAUUGACUAAUUCCUAUGCCAGCUCAUUCCAUUGAGAGGACCUGGGAUAGACCCUGGGCAGUCCUUGUGCUAUAUAUGAGAUAGACUAAUUACUUCAACGUUGCAGUAAUGGGAAUUAUGGACCACCAUACAGAAAGCAACCAUGUAGCUGAUUAUUGGCUUGUAGCUGAUUAGUGGCUUCUUUCCUACUGGGAUAUGAGUGUUUAUUGUUUAAUCAAUUUGUUACCUCAUAAGAUCUCUAAUGAUCUUUCCAGAUGUAAUUAUGAGGAUGCCAACAGUUUUACUUAUUGGCAAAUGUAAGCUUUGUGCUUAUUAAUUUAUGUUCUUUUA